GUGUAUGAGAAAAUGACAUAAAGUUUCAGACCCCGUUGUGCUUUGCUCCAGACCCAGACAACUCUUGGUCGGAUGGUGAGGAGAUUUCACACCCUUUGGAGAGUUUCUUUCUUGGAUAAUUCAGGGUCUUGCUGUGUUGCUCGGGCUGCUCUUGAACUCCUGGGCUCAAACAGUCCUCUUGCCUCAGCCUCCCAACGUGCUGGGAUUACGGGAGCAAGCCACCCCACUGUGUGCAGCCCAGAAGUUGAGCCUGAGAGGAAGAUGAGAGACUGCUUAGGCGCCACCACUAGUACCAUGAGUCCCUGCACUGGUUAAAGCCAUCGCCACAACCUGGACAGGCAGCAAGAAAAUCCUUUGAGUUUGAGGAUGCAUCCAGUCUCCAGUCCCUGUACCCCUCUUCUCCCACUGAGAAUGGUACUGAGAACCAACCCAAGUUUGGAUCCAAAAGCACUUUAGAAGAAAAUGCCUAUGAAGAUAUUGUGGGAGAUCUGCCCAAGGAGAAUCCAUAUGAGGAUGUGGACUUAAAGAGCCGAAGAGCAGGACGAAAAUCCCAGCAACUGUCUGAGAACUCCUUGGACUCUU
rnacentral:lncRNA from 1 species